rnacentral:rRNA from 1 species
CAGCAGCCGCGGUAAUACGAAGGGGGCUAGCGUUGUUCGGAAUUACUGGGCGUAAAGCGCACGUAGGCGGAUAUUUAAGUCAGGGGUGAAAUCCCAGAGCUCAACUCUGGAACUGCCUUUGAUACUGGGUAUCUUGAGUAUGGAAGAGGUGAGUGGAAUUCCGAGUGUAGAGGUGAAAUUCGUAGAUAUUCGGAGGAACACCAGUGGCGAAGGCGGCUCACUGGUCCAUUACUGACGCUGAGGUGCGAAAGCGUGGGGAGCAAACAGGAUUAGAUACCCCAGUAGUCCCUGUCUCUUAUAC